AACAAUGUCUUUUACUAGGCACCCAGAGUCACGGUUCAAUCUGUUUUUUCCUCUUUAGUUGAACAAAGGAUAGCCUUGUUAUUCUUUUUCGUGCUCGCGGUAGCCUUAGAUCAAACCAUAAGUUGUUGUCCAUCGUGGCCUUCUUAGUUUUGACCAACCUUUAAAUGUCGUGUCACUCUUGUUGUUUGACUACGCGGUUCUAAACGUACAGAA
rnacentral:snoRNA from 1 species